rnacentral:tRNA from 1 species
UCCCUGGUGGUUCAGUGGUUAAGAAUCUGCCUUGUAAUGCAGGAGACGCAGGUUCGAUCCCUGGUCAGGGAA